AGCGUCCUAUCUAUUGCUCACAUGCCGAGAGAUAGGCACAUUAGACCCAUCUCUUUUUGACCAACACCUCUAUAAUUGAAGAGAAGGCCACGCAACCGACCCAAGCCGGCGUCGCAGUGACACACAGACUCUCUCUCUCUCUCCCUCCCCCUUUGCAGAUAAACCAAACAACGAGCGGAAGCAACAAUAAUAACUCCCCCCCUCUGAUUUGUGCAGCACGCCCCUCAGAUGGAGGCGGCGAGCGCAAAGGAAGCUUCAAGAGGCAUCCUCCACCACCCUUCGCCGCCGCCUCCCUCGAUCUUCCGAAGAUACAUUUAACAUCAAAAGUAGAAUGAUGAAUGUGCUGGUUUAAUGGUAUGGAGGAUAUCAUGGUGGAGCCUGACUUUUCUGCUUCCAAGCAGAAUCAAUGAAAUUUAGAAAGUAAUCGGCAAGAUGGAUCACUUUCUUCAUUUGCCUAGGUGAGCAGAUACAAGUUUCUUAAGUGCAUUGGGAUGGCUUGCAGUAUUAUGAUCUGAGUUUGCUGGUCACAGGCAAAGACUUGUGUGGUCUCAUUUUGGUGACGCAGUCUGAGAUAAGAUGGCCACCGAAGCUUAAAGAUGGUACACAAGCAAGAAGGUUUGAUGACAUUUGUACUACUGUAUGUAGGUUGUUUGCCAUGUCCGGCUCUCAUCCUAUUUCUCAUGCUUUGCCGUUCCCUGUCUGCCGUCGUGGCGCUGUUGUUUGUUUGCUUUCGAUUACAAGAUCCGUGCUAACCACAGCGAUGAUCGUCUCUCCCGCUGGGACUGAGAUUUCGAGAAGACGAGUGCUUCAAGAUUCGUGAAAGAAAUCAUACGCCAAGCGUUUGUGAUGAAUUCUGUUAGGACGUUUAAUCAAUACCCUCAAACAGUUAAUCCUUUUUGAGA